rnacentral:rRNA from 1 species
CUACGGGGCGCACCAGUGGGGAUUAUUGGACAAUGGGGGAAACCCUGAUCCAGCAAUGCCGCGUGUGUGAAGAAGGCCUGCGGGUUGUAAAGCACUUUCGGUUGGGAGGACUGCUUCUAGCACUAAUAUUGUUGGAAGUUGACGUUACCUUCAGAAGAAGCACCGGCUAACUCCGUGCCAGCAGCCGCGGUGAAUACGGGAGGGUGCAAGCGUUAAUCGGAAUUACUGGGCGUAAAGCGCGCGUAGGCGGCUAGAUCAGUCGGGUGUGAAAGCCCCGGGCUUAACCUGGGAACUGCAUCCGAUACUGGCUAGCUUGAGUACAGGAGAGGAGAGUGGAAUUCCACAUGUAGCGGUGAAAUGCGUAGAUAUGUGGAGGAACACCAAUGGCGAAGGCAGCUCUCUGGCCUGAUACUGACGCUGAGGUGCGAAAGCGUGGGGAGCAAACAGGAUUAGAUACCCGAGUAGUC